GUAUCUCCCUUUGAGAUUAAUCCUGAUCGAUUUCGAUCGAUCAAUCCAAAGCUUCAAAAAUGUUUCAACUCUCAUUUGAAACUUUUCGAUCAACCGAAGAUGGACGGUUCGAAUUUUAAAAUUCUGCUUUGGCCGUUCGCAUCCCAAAAACCCUAUUAUUUUAAUACUUCUUUCUCUCUCCUCUCUCUUAUUUUCCUUCCUUUUUCUUUUGUUUUACUUUCUCUCUCUCUCUCUCUCUCUCUGUCUCUGUCUCUCCCUCUCCCUCUCUUCCUCUCUCCCUCAUUUUCUUUCUCCCCGAAGCCUCCAUUUCUCCCUUUCUUCUCCAUCACUAAACCCCACCACCAUCCACCUUCCUCUUAUCUCAACCACCUACCCCACCAUCAUCUCUCAUUCCGGCGAACCCAACCAUCCCACCGCCAUCAUCUUCUGCCAUCGAGCACCGUCGACUCCAUCUAUUUCGGCCGCGGCUCCUCCAUUUAUUUCGGCGAAGUUCUUGGCCUACGACCGAGCAUUCUUUCCUUGCGGGUCUAUUUUUCUCUCAUCGGAGUUCUCUUGCUCUCAUUCUCUGGCUGAUAUAGGCCAAGGAGAAUUCGUCGGUGCCUCUGCAACUUCCGGCGACAUUCCAGCAGUAUCUCUUCAUCUUCUCUCUGAUUUUCUCAUCUUUUCCCUCGGAUGCAGCGGAAGAAGUCAAUUGCCAAAAAGAGAGCUACCAGUCCCCAAGAGCCACCUCCUACUCCACAGGAGGAAUCUUCUUCUUCUUCAGAGGCCAAGGCCACUGCAUCUUCUUCUGGGCCAUCUUUUAUGGAUGCAUGCAUAGAUCCCUAUAGUAAGAGUAGUCCUGGAACCUUACUUUACAAAUAGAGAGUUGGAGCUAAAGUACAACUUUGACACUAAUUUAUUUACCCGGUCUGAGCAGACCAAAUGGGCUUAUGACGAGUUUCGCUGGCGUGGCAUUGAUCCUAUUCUAACGUCAAGCAGUGGUAUGGUCUACCUUUGAUUGAUUGUUUUAUUCUUCUAGCACCUCCAGCGGGAUGAGGAGUACUAGCAUAUAUUUCACACAACUGUGGAUGGACGAGAUAUCGUCAUUUCUAUUGCUUACAUCGAGGUAGCUUGCAGAUAUCCCCAUAUAUCUUUCUUGGUCCCUAAGAUCGAACAGCCAUUAUACCCCAUCAUUCCAGAGUAUCUGAUAGAGAUACGUUUUUGGAAUCUAAGUUUGGGGUACACCUUCCAAUGCUAAGUUUCCAUUGCCGGGUUCUAUUUGCUUCGCCCAUUUGGUAUACUCUUUCCAUUAUCUAUUGCUAUCUUUGUACAUUGCGAACAAUGCACAGAUUAAGUUUAGGGAUGUUUUAGCACGUUGCACUUUAUCUUUUAUGCAUGUGAUAUGAUUUAAGAGUUUAGCAAUGAUUUUGAUCUUUUGAUAUUACUUAGAAUUUAAAAAUUGCUUGACAUGAGAUUUCAAUACUCCUUGUAUGCCUUGUGGAUGUCAUUAAGGAGUAAAUUUUUUUAAAAAUUUGUGACGGCGUUGGUUUUUAGGCCUGUACGUCCUAUGAUGAACCGAACGUAGAUCCGAUAACGAAUCUAGAAUGCAGAAACAAAAGAUAAAACAAUGGUCUCUAGAGAUAUAACACGUCUCUAGGAUACCAAUGUGAUCCUCAAUGAGGUCACGGAACCCAAAGAAAACAAAUGCGGAAGCGACGUUUCAAAAAUGGACAAGAAUGAACCUAGGGGCAAAAUGGUCAUUUUAAAAAUGAAAGUGGAUAUUACUGAGCACACCAUUAGAAAGACAAUGAAAAAUUAAUAAACUCAGACCUAAGAAUCACUUGAUUCGAAGUCCGGACGAAGAAGAUAUGGUUAACAGAAGAAAAAAGGGGAAAAAGGUCAAAAUUAUCAAUCCAAGAUCAUCUAACCGGUUAGGAGGCAAAAACAGAGAUGACCACAUUUUACCCAAGCUCUCGUAACCGGUUAUGAGAAUCCACCACCCGUACACUAAAAAUCAACAAAAACCUGGCAGUAGGAUUUUUCAGAAAAAAAUGGGUUUUUCAGGGUGAAGAUGACAUUUUUUGGAAAAACACAAAGAAGAACCCCCCCACCCCCCAAAAUUGAGUUUUCUACCUAGCAACGCGAACAAAAAUGAAAAAAAAAAAACACAUUGUGAAAUACCCAAAAUGUCCCUUGAUCAGAAAAGGGUAAAGUUUCAAAAAAAUGCAACUUUAAGUGUUCAUUUCAUCAACAAUGGUAUUAUAUGCCAAAGUGAACAUGUACGCAUGCGUAAUACGAUAAAGUAGAUGCGUUACAAUGGCCUACGGCCUCAUCGCAUGUUAUUUACAAAAUAUGACCCUUCAAUGCAUUAAAUCACAUAUCUUACAUAGGCAACAAUGAAGUUAAAAUUAGCAUACAUAUCACAUAAGUGUUUUUGGCCCUUGGCCUUAUUACAAACACAUUCUAUGAGUAACAAAAGAUGCACUUAAGUGCACAUUAUAUAGUUUGACCAAUAAAUAUAAGUUUCAUCCAUGAAACCAAAAAGGAAGCAUGAUAUGCUAACAAGUGCAUAUUCUAAUACAAUAAAAAUGUUCCAAGUAGUCAAGCAAGCCUAGGGGUGCUGUGCAUCCCACAAUACCGUUUCUUUACCUGAAAAACACCUGGUAAGUUUGGGGUGAGUAAAUAAGUUUACUUGUAAGGAAUGAGCAUGCAAAACUUAAUUUUAUA